CGCCACCCCACUGGGCAGACUGUGUUCCCCACCACGCUGGGCCAUUGUUCUGGUUCUGCCUGUGUGGCCUGAGCCAGGGGAGGCUGGCCCUGCUGACUCCUGGCUCUUACAUCGGGGGGACCCCCAUCCCCAAAGGGCCCCGAAUGCAACUUCUAGGUGAACUGAAAGGUCCUUCUUGAGCGAACCCACCCCACAUUCUGGCUCCCGAACAACGGCGUCCUCCGGGGACCCAAAGCCUAGGCGCCAGAAGGGUCCCCGCUCGCCACGCCUGCUCCCCAGAGGUCUGCACCAGGGUCUCCGGGCUGGGCAUCUGUGACCCACACCUGAGCUGAGCCAGCCGCUGUCUAACACAGGCACCACCUUGGAGCCCCGAGCUCCCGCCUGCCUCCCAGAGCCUGGAGACCCUCGACCCGGCCCCUGGCCCCGCCGCUCGUGUGUGACCAGGCCCAGAGUGGCUCUGGGGGGUCCGGCGCUGAAAAACCUGAGCUCCAAGGCCACGCAGGCCCACAGGGGGCCUCAGCAGGACCCGCCAACAAAUCCGGGCAGCACACAAGUGGGGCCCACGCAUCGCGUGACCCGAAGCCGCCCUGUCCCCCCGCGGGCCGCGCCUCCUCCCGUGGGCCCGGCGCACUUACAGCACGCAGAGCGCGUAGGCCUUGGAGAUGGACUCGCUGGCACGCACGAGGAAGCUCCCGUCCUUGCCCGUCCUGGACAGCAGCUCCUCGGCCUUGGAGCGGGUGAUGUUGCCAUGGUUCCAGCAGGGGACCAUGGCGGCCACGGGCCUCCCCGGGCCGGGCGGGCGGCCACCCCAGGACCCACACGCCACCGAGGGGAGCUGAGGCCCCCGCACCGCGAGCCGCCGUCGGUCCCCUCUCGGUUGCCCCGCUGCUGCCACCAGCUCCCUGCCCGACUUCCUGUUUCAGGAGCUCAGCGAGGGAAAGGAAGCCAGCAGCGGCAGAGAACUUCCUCAUUGCGGAGACCGGCCGGGGGAGGCCGCGCUCCACCUUCCCACCCCGCCCACCCGCCGGCCGCCCCUCCCGCUGCCCCCCCAAGGCCUCCCCGGGGCGGCAGCUGGGUCGUCGUCGGGGUCAGGAGGCUCACGGCCGGCCUCCGGAGAAGCGCGGCCUGGCAGGUGGACCGGCAGGACAGUGGCCACUGGAGGCCUGUCUGGAUGCUCACGUGGGAUGGCCACGCCCUGGCCGGAUCCCUCGCCUUGGGCUUUACCCUACUCCAGGGGCUACUCAGCUGGGACCACCGCCUGCCCCCCAGGGCCAGGCGAGAUUGAGGGAGAGGGGCGCAGUGGAGCCCCCUCCCAAUGUGAGAGACUCAGGAAACCACCACACAGCCUUGGGUGCUGGAAGGACCUUGAGGGACACCACCCUAGGGCUCCAAGGGCCCAGGUGACAGCUCUGUGACACGUUUACACUCGUCCCCAAGCGCCGGUGGGUGUGAAGGAACCCUGUUCUCCAUGGCGGUCCAGUUUAGCCACACACGAAGCGGGUGGAGGGCUUGGGGACGUUGACCCUACACAGAGAGAAUGCGGGCUGGGUUUUCCCCUCUGGGUCUUUCCAGGAUGCUCGGAAAUGACACUUCCCCACAGGCUGACCACCUGGCCAAGGAUGAAGAACAUGGCUUCCGGUGCCCUUUAUCCCAGGAGAGUCGGGGUGGCCAGUGGAGCGCCUCCAGGCUGCCAUGUUGCACUUGCCGGUGGCUCAAAGGAGAGCUGCCCCCAUGGGGCCACCAUCCCGGACCAGCAGAUCCUGAGGGCUCCAAAGCAGAUGUCCACUCGUGGGGUGCACUCCGUUCUUGGGUCAGGCCCAGCAGGGUCAAGGGGCGCUGCUGACCCAUCGCACGAGGCGGUGGUGCCCCCCCAUCCCACACCCAGGCCUCACCCCACCCCCCAAGACAUGACAAGAGACCCCCUCUAGAGGCCCGAGCUCAGUGAGCCUCCGUCUGAGCCCCCCAGCUCUACAUCGGAGCUUCAGGAGCUGAUCAGACG